rnacentral:lncRNA from 1 species
GUUUCCUGAGUGAGAGCAUCCUGUGAGCUGGCUCCUGAGAGGGCAUUUGUGCUGAGGACUUGGGGGCUGCCCACCAGCUGAACAAGAGCUCAGAGAACAAUGAGAGCCUUUCGGUUUCCCAACAACACUCCUACCUGCACGUUGAUGUGAUCCUUGGGUGAAGAUCCCAUUAAUUUUCAGCGUCCAGAAACUGACUUUCGUGCCCAGCACAUAGUAAGGAAAGCAGCGAGGCUUGUGUUCCCUUCCCUGCAGGGGCUGCAACACUGGGCCCUGGGAUGUCAGGGCCUUCGAAGGUGCUACAAAAAACAGCCGGCCUGAGGAGGGGCCGUGCGUGCCCUUACUCUUCCGGGCUCAUCCGAGUUCUGUAGGCUUCUCCGUCCAGGAUUCUGCUGGUUACCGUCUCCCCAGAGCUGGCUCAGCUUUGAGGCCCAGCCCAGGGCCUGGAACUCUUGCUGAGAGGCCUGUUUCUAAGGAUGGAGUCAUCCCUGCUCGGGGUCCUGCAGGGUCUGCAGUGCGGCCACCAGGUGCCACUUUGUCUGAGAGCCCUAAGGAAGAUGAGGGAAGCGGAUGCUUGGGAAUGUAGCUGGCAAGACAGUGACCAAGCAAAGGAGAGGACAGGAGAGCAGGCAGAAGGCAAUCCAGCUCACCCACGGGAGGACCGAAAUCUCCGUUUUUAGCCAGCAUGCUCUGCCCUUGGGCUUUCUCUCGAGCAUCUUUGUUUCUUCUCCACAGCAAAGUUCUCACUUUUCUCUCACUUAGUUCAAUAGCUGUCCUCUUGCAGGGGUAGAGGUCUGGCUGGCCGCUAGCUCUGCAGAUGGUUCUUCAGUGUUUCCUCCUGAGAACUCGGUUCCAGCCUUCUUACUGUUUUCUCUUCUUCCCUUCUCACCCUUCUCCUUUUCUAACCUGCAGCCCCUGUACACCCAGCACUUUCUCCCUUUGGGUCUCUGAGGCUUCUCCACUCAUACCUCACCUGUGGCUCUUUCCUGUCCAUCCGGCGACAAGAAAUACGUCAAGCCACCUCAGUUCUCUGUUCUCUGGGCCUCAGUUUCCUUGUCUCUAGAAUGACAGAAGUAGCAGGUAGGUGUGGGUUGCCUGACAAUUGGAGAGCCCUUCACCCCAAGCCUGGAAGGGGCUACUUAUGAAUGUCCUGGUGCCUAAGCAGGUGUUUCAAGAAAAGACUGCCAAGUAUGUGCACUAGGACCCCAAAACUUUCCACCCCAGGCCAGCCCAGGGUGGAGGGGCAAUCCACUACUGGUACACAUUGCUGCAGGUCAAAAGACAGGGGGUGCAGCUCAGUGGUAGAGCACUUGUCUAGCAUGUGUAAAGCCAUGGGUUCAACCCCCAG